CCGCCGUCGUCACUCCGCCCGCACCAGAGCCUCCCCGAGCCCGCUAAACCUCCCUACGGCGUCGAUGUGAGCACCCCUCGGCUUUCCCCUCUGUUUCCUCGUCGAAUUCGUGCCAUAGCACCGUUACCCGCGAGCUUCCACUCCGUAGUCCGUGUGCGCUCGCCUGCGUCCAUGUCGCACCCUGUCCCGCCCGUUGCCAUUCCUCACUGCCCGCUGUGGCCGUCCACACACGCACUCCCCUGCAGCCACCCACGUCCUCGUGCCGCCGCUGCUCUCUUCGUUGCUGCUGCUUGCGCCGUGCCCCGCGUCGAGUCAUGCUUGCAUCGUGUACUGCCGCCCCUUGUGCUGCCUGCUACCACUGUCGGCCGCCGCGCCUGCCACUCCCGCUCUCACUGCCCCUUGCUGCUGCUCGUCACCUGCUGCCUCCGGCGACCUCCUGCCACCGCUUUGCCGCAUCUCGCCCCACCGAGCCCGCUUCUAGCUGCCUUGCCUGUGUCGCUCACCUAGCUGCGCUGAAGGCCGCGCCUGGGCAAGCUUGGGUCACACCGAUGGCCGCUUCCCGUGUGUGUGUGCGUGGUUCCUCAAUGGCCGGCUGGCCAUUUCCUACUCGGGCCGGCCCCGCUUAAUUUGGGGGUGCUAACUCCCCCAUUAGCUUAACCCCCUCCAACUAAUUAGGGUAAUUAACUUAAUGUGUCAACAUCAGUUAGACUACUAACUCAAUAACAGAUGGGCCCCGAUGUUAAUUAAACAAAAUUACCUAACCUACUAGAGUGAGAGAUAAUGACAUGCGGGUCCCACUAGACCCCCCUUUGACUAGUCAAACUGACCAGUCAACUGCUGACUGGGCAGUUGACUGGCCCCGCUGUCAGCCACUAGCGCAACACUGGGUGCACUGCACCGGGUGCACCCAGCUUAUUUUUCCUUUUACUUAAUUCGAGUUUAAUUAUUAAAAUAAAUUCUAGAAAAUGGUUUAAUCUUUGAAAAUUCAUAUAAAUUAAACCGUAUCUCGGAUGAAAAUGUUUUCUACAUGAAAGUUGCUCAGAAAAAUCCAAAGAAUCUGAAUACGCGGUCCGUUCAUGUGUCACAUGCCCCUAGCAUGAUGAACAUGGAACAUUCCCUCUCCGGUCAUCUGUAUGACACAAGUCCAGAAUCGAGAAAUCAUUCCCGGUUGAAUUCCCCCUUCACCUUUAUCGUGUAGCCAUACAUUAGGUCACACCCGGCACAGCAUAUUGCCACAUUAUGCUUUGUGAUGCUAUGUUUGCUUUAUAUUUACUGUUUCUUCCCCCUCUUCUCUCCGGUAGACCCCGAGACCGAUGCUGCCCCUGUGAUCGGUUACGUCGACGACGACCCCUCCUUGCCAGAGCAACCAGGUAAGCCCCCCUUUGAUCAUCCUGAUAUCGCCCAUUCCAUUCUCUCAUGCUUGCAUUAGAUUUUGCUACUGUAAUUGAUUGCUCCUAUUCUAAUGCAUAGCCUGCUUUUGUAUCCGCUGUUGUACCUUACCUGCUUAUCGUAAACUGCUUAGUAUAGGUUGCUUAGUGAUCCAUCAGUGACCCCCACCUUGUCCUUGUUGCCCCUGCUUCAUCAUCAAAGACCUGAUCAACGGGAUCGAAGACCAGGCCCCGGCACCGCGCAUCACUUUCCCCUUAGUUGCUCGACACUACUGGGUUACUAUCGAGUGGGAGGGUGAGACCUCUUCAGCACUUCUGAUGUUAACCCUGUAGUGUAGCUAUUUGGUCAUGGUCAUCGAGGGUGAUUUCCUCCUUAACCACUUCUGAUAUGACUCUCUCGUGCAACCCCUCAAGUGUGAACCUCGGGGGUGAUUCCUCUUACAUUCACCUUGAUGAUUACAUCAAGUGGAAUUCACCGGGGGUGAUUCCUCGGGUUUUCCCCUUGAUGUUUGGACACACAGUUACUAUGGUUACUAUGACUUUACACUAAACCAUGUUACUAAAGACGGGUCAGCCCUGAGGGGUACCCGCGCGAGCUUAAUUGCGAGUGAUGUGGAGACGGGCUGACGUGGAGGGUGCCAGCGAUAUAAUUACGAGGCGCGGUCGGGCAUUCCUAGCCCUUGCCGCAAGUCCUCGAGACGGGGCAACGGGGUCACAUCUUUCAUGAGUCUCUGCUUGUUACCGCGCGUUCCUAAUCCACUACGAUUUGGAUAUUUGAUUUGAGGGGCCUCUGGCCUGAUAGCACUAACCAUCACGUGGGCAUAGUAUGGGCGUUCUGCAUCGUAUGCAUCAACCGAAGCUUAAUAGACGUCAGCGACUGAGCGGCGCGCGCCGGUUUGGACUACGUAAGCACCUGCCUUGUUGAAGGAGGUAGCUAGGUCUGCUCACCGGCCGCCCUCGCAACGUGCAGGAGUUUCCGGGGAGAUGGCCCAUGACCCCUGGGGGCAUAGGUUUAGUCCGGCGUGCUGGCCUCUCUAUUAAGCCUAGGUCGGGUUGCGGCGUAUUGUUUGGCCGAGGCCGGGCAUGACCCAGGAAAGUGUGUCCGGCCGGAGUUAAUCAAGCGUGGUGGGUAAGUUGGUGCACCCCUACAAGGAAGAAAACAUCUAUCGAUAGCUUGUCCUACGGUAAAGGACACUUCGAGUUGUAUCCCGAUCGGUACAACUAGAACUGGAUACCUGAGAUGAGAAAUGGAUAUGAGAAAUGGAGAUGAGAACUGGAUAGUAUGGCUUUGGGAUUGCUUUCUCGCAGGGAGUCGAGAAAGGAUCUCUCGCCGAGGUUGAUAACCCUACUACUACUUUACUUUAUGCUACUCUACUCCCUCCUGUUGCUGCAAGAUGGUGGUUUCCAGAAGAUGCUAGUCUUCGAUAGGCUAGGCUUUCCCCCUUCUCUUCUGGCAUUCUGCAGUUCAGUCCACAGAUACAACCCUUUUCUUUGAUACCGAUGCAUAUGUAGUGUAGAUCCUUGCUUGCGAGUACUUUGGAUGAGUACUCACGGUUGCUUUGCUCCCCCUUUUUCCUCCUUUAUUCUUUCUGGUUGAUGCAACCAGAUGUCGGAGCCCAGGAACCAGAUGCCACCGUUGAUGCCUACUACUACGUGAAGACCGCCAACGACCAGGAGUAGUUAGGAGACUCCCAGGCAGGAGGCCUUGCCUUUUCGAUCGUAAAUGCUUUGUGCUGGCCUUCUUAAGGCAUGCUUGUCUAACUUAUGUUUGUACUCAGAUAUUGUUGCUUCCGCUGACUCUUGUGUAUUCGAGCCCUCGAGGCCCCUGGCUUGUAAUAUAAAGCUUGUAUUAUUUUAAUUUGUGUCUAGA
rnacentral:lncRNA from 1 species